GUUAUGAAAAGUUGCUUUAAAUAACUUUGAAUAUUUUUAAUUGUUUGUUUCACAUCACAUCACGCAUGUUGAGCUAAGCAGAAGCUUUGUUGAUAUUAUGCCGAAUCUGCGAUACAUGCAUGUUGCACUAAUGAAAAACAUUUUUAUAAAGCAACGAAUUAUUAACAUUAAUGCCGUAGAAUUAAUUAUACUUCGUGUUUAAUCGUACAUUUGUAACAUCAUUUGAAAAUCUAUUUCAUAAUUGCAAAAUAAAGGAGAAUAGAUUUUGGCUGAAUUAACUUUCCUGGGUAGAAAUCAGGCAAUUUGCCAGAUAUCUGUCGACCUUGGAAGAACGAAUUAUUCGAGUUAUUAAUAAUAAUUUGUAAAAUAUUAUAUUUAACUUAACAUCUGCCUUUACUUGAAUAUAUUACAGCAAUAAAAACGUAUGUAUUUUUUGUAUUAGUUUAUUAUAGUAAUUAAUACAAUAAUUAAUUAUUGGAGUGCAUGAAUGCUUAUAUUUAACAUUUAUUAAUAGACAAAAAUAAAAAAAUUAAAAUAUUUAUAUGUAUUUACAGGAUAUACAUUGAUGUUGACAACACAAUGAAGUAACGGAUCAGUCAAACACACGUCAAUUAUAGCUACACACAAGAUAUAGAUAUUAAAAAAUAUAUAGUAAGAAUGCAAGACGCGUGGAUUCGUCGAUCUUUUGCAUCAUUUGUAAAUGAACUAAAUAAAAAUUUGGUAUCUGCGACUUGUGUGAUUGCGUAGGAAUUUUUCUUCAGAAAGACAAUAAAAUGCCACAUGAUGACAAUAAUGUGCAAUAAUAACUGUGACAUUAUUAAUUUUAGCAAGACAUAAAGACACGAGAUUGCAAAGAUGGAUUAUAUUAAAUGUGGUCGCCUAAGUCAUGUGACGUUCAUUUGUAGUAUUCGCGAAGUGAGUUUCCCUCAAGUAAUAGUCUUCCGCGAGAGUAACUCGGUGGGGAUUCUUGACGUACAAGACACACGCCCCUACUUCGUGCUACAUCUAGCCGUAAUAGUAAUCUGUUGGAAGUCGAAGACGAAGGAACGAAGGGAAACCAUGAUCGUGCUUCUUCUAGGUGAUAUUGUAGUGAUUGUAUCAUUUAGUGAAACAGUGACAUUUGAAAGGAAAUUUGAAAGUGACAUUUAAAAGGAAGAAAUGUGAUUUUUGACAGAUUUUGCUGCCUUCGGUCAAGAAGAUACAUCCCUUGCACUAGUUAUUUUAUAGCGAGGUCUUUUCCACGUUCUCGACCGAAGUGCAGCCGCAUUCGAAUUGGACACAUUCGAAUUCAUUUUACCGCAACAUCGUAAAGAGUGCGCUGACACGCUCUUCCCCGUAUUAUUUCUGGCAUGACUGAAUCAUUGGCAGCUGGCUCGGGACGGAGCCAAAAUAGUUAACUACCUCGACCAGCUUCUUCCUUCGAAAUCACCGUGCUGACGAAGCGUCGAACGAAGGUGGUAGUCUGGGAGUCUGGGAUCAAAGACAGAGAGCUGGACCACGGAAAAGAAUAUCUCCUUGAUGAAUCAGCGUGCCCAUUUGUCCUCUUGAAAAGUGUACUAUCGUUCCAUCUUCAAGGUCGCCCAAAGCUGCUCGUACUUUUUUGCUCAUAAUGGCUCGCGUUUAAAACGCAAAGAACUGAAUUUAAUUCUUGAGAAUUCUUCUUUUCACCAGUUAGAUAUUUAGAAAUAACUGAGAAAGAAAAUUGAUGCAUGUAUUCUUUGAAAAUAUACUCGUUCAAUUCGAUGUGUGAAAUUUUCGACGGCUGGGAACAAAUAUUCAAAAUUUUUGAUGUUCACGUAGAAUUUAUAAUCCACAUAAAUUUCUGAUGAAUAGCAGAUAUUCUUAGCGAUAUAUGUAACACGCUUAAGUAUUCUCCGUUUAAAGAUCCUAUCCGUGUAUAUCAUGCAACGCAUUUUAAAAUAUAAAAAAUCGUAUAAUAAACUUACAAACUAUUAAUUUUAAUAGAAUAAUAAUGAAAAGUAAAAGCGUUUAAAAUAUAAAGAUGGUAGACCAAUGCGGAUUAUAAGUCAGUUUUAAACAAUUCUUUAAAGCGUUUAUAAGCGAGAACAACCCACGAUUCGUCGUGGUCGAUGAAUCUUCGCGGAGUUCCAAGCCGGCGGCCAAAUAUAGCUAGGUAAUGUAAUACACAUCACGUGUUCAAAAAUAGCUUAAGAAAAGGGCCUAGCCGAGUGUGCACACGACACUUCAUCUGCUUUUCCGCUCGGAACGUGUGCCGCCUGACAGAAACGUUAACAUAAAUAUACGUGUAUAUAUCUGCGAACUUGUUAUUUAUAAAAAUAUCUAUUAUAUAAACGCAAGUCAAACCGGUUAUGUGCUUCCGCGAUAGUUUUUCUAUCGAAGAGAAAUGAACAAAAAAAUCUUCAUUUCUAUUUUAUAGCAGCUUUCUUUUUUUAUAAACUUUUUGCUAUGUUUUUUCCUCUUCACGUAUGAUACACCCCAGAGAAUUCAACGGAAGCACGUUCUCCGUUACAAAGAUCCAACGGUAUACAGAUAUAGUUUUAUUUCACCACGAAAAGAGUAUCGAGUGUAACGAUCUCGAAUAAUUUAUCGUAUAGUGCGAACUUUAUAGACAUAUUACAUUAAUAAUUAUGCAGUUUUUACACAUAUUUUACGACAUAUUGAUCCUGACCUGAAUCUUCAAUUGCCACAAAGAUUCUCUUAUAUAAGAUGGUCGCGAUAAAAUCGUCAUUUACGACGACAUAUUAUAAUCAUUAGGCGACGGUCGUCGAAACGGCAACAAACGAGACUUGGACGUACUUACAACAUUCGGUUUUAUUGCGAUUUUCAUUGUACAAUAAUAAAUAUUCGAUUAGUAAAUUGUUA